rnacentral:lncRNA from 1 species
GGCCAUUUUAGAUCCAAGGAUCACUUUAAUCUAAGUCACACUACCUGUUUGUUGUAGCAGGAUUUGUGUGGCUGUUUUCUUUGUUUCCUCUGCAGGUCAGCAAGAUGGAAGAUUGGCUGGAAGGAGUCCAGGCUGCUGUGCAGGAGAGGGGGAUCGAGUGGCUCAGGGAUUGCCUGGGUGAUGCUCUGCCAUCCGGAUCUGGAGGUUCCCAGGGUCAGAGGCCGGUCAGGAAGACCAAGCCUCCACAGCGGUUGAGCCCCAGCGUGGUUCCCG